AGCAGUUUAUAUGAGUUCUGUUUCAAUCAUUUCAGGACCACAAGAGUACAAUAAAAGCAAUUUACACGGGUUCUGAAUUUCUGGAGAGUGUUUUUGCUGGUGUUGAAGUUGGCUCGAUGCUUAUUUGUUUCGUCGAUUUCAGUUAUUCAGGAUUCACUCCACGAACAUAAACAACGGGUGGACUUGCCAAAAAGUACUUUUCCUUCGGAUAAAGAGAGAAGACAUUUCUACCUUAGGUUAAAGAGAGAGAGAGAAGACAUUUCUGUAGAGCAUCAGGUUUAAUCCUUAAUGGGCUUAUAUGCUUAUAGAGAUUGAAUGAUCUUAUUUGUUUGUUAUUCUGUUUAAAUCAAACUUGAACUAAAUUUAUUGUUUGUAUUGGUAUUA